CAUCCAUCAGUUGACGAUGUCAAUGGUUAUCCUUAUCACUCCAAGUCAUCAUCAUCAAGAAGUUGUAUGUCUUAUAGACACAAUCAGCAGCAUCAGCACGGGAUAGAAUGGAGAACCACUAAUCCAUUAGGCAGACAAGAGUCGAAUCCUGCUGUUGUCACGGUAGUAUAAUGUAACGUAACCCACCAUCCAUUCAGCCUCCACGCCCAUUAGUGUAUAAUCACUUCAAUUGUUUAAGUGUUGGGUACAUUUUUUACAUUUGUUCUAACAGCAACAACUAACUAUAUAUUAUUAUUAUUAUUAUUAUAUAAAUUAUGUAUUAGUUUCUCAAUACUUCUUCCUUGUUUAUUAUCCUCACCCCCCCUCUCUCUCUCCUUUUCACUCUAUUUUUCUGUGUAUUAAAUGUAUUUUUGUGUUUUAUUUUUUGUUUGUGUAUUGUUCAAGUCAUAUGAGUUGCUUGUGUGUCAUCAGCACUUGCUCCUUCUCAUCUUUCUAAAAUCUAUUUUUUUAAAAA